rnacentral:tRNA from 2 species
GGGUCCUUAGCUCAGAUGGUUAGAGCACUCGGCUCAUAACCGAUUGGUCAUAGGUUCAAGUCCUAUAGGACCCACCA